rnacentral:rRNA from 1 species
UACGUAGGGUGCAAGCGUUAAUCGGAAUUACUGGGCGUAAAGCGUGCGCAGGCGGUUGUGCAAGACCGAUGUGAAAUCCCCGGGCUUAAACUGGGAAUGGCAUUGGUGACUGCACGGCUAGAGUGUGUCAGAGGGGGGUAGAAUUCCACGUGUAGCAGUGAAAUGCGUAGAGAUGUGGAGGAAUACCGAUGGCGAAGGCAGCCCCCUGGGAUAACACUGACGCUCAUGCACGAAAGCGUGGGGAGCAAACAGG